rnacentral:lncRNA from 1 species
UUUUUACCUGCCCAACAAUGUUCCAUCUACCAUCUAAAAGGUAAUAUAAGAAGAAGUUUUGAAACCCACUUUAGGAAAACCAUCUUCUUUAAAUCCUUCAAUUAUCUGAGGCCUCUAUAUGUCAAAACUAUUUUUCAGUUGCAGGGGAUUGGGCAAACUUGUUCUUUCUUAUACUUGGGUUCAAAGACCCAUUCUCCAGUUUCAUAUUUCCCAAACCAAAAUGCUUGACAUAAAGCCAAAUCAACUGCCAAGCACACUUUAUUUUGCAUAGGAGUAUGCAGCCUAGGGAACCUUGGUUGAAAAGCAGCAGUCUGCUAUGCAAAAUAUUGGAAAUCACUGACAGUGUAGCAUUCAUAUUAUCUGUCAAUGAGGGUAUAUUGGGAACGUGCUCUCGUGAAUAAUAAAAAGCAACAUAUUUUUAUUUGGCCUUAUAAAUUAGGUUGUGGUAAUGUAAACUUUGAUAUAUAGUCUUUUUAUUUUUCUCUUAUUAAUCUGCCAAAGAUGGGAACAGAUACAAGAAUUUUUCAAAUUGGCUUUUGUAAGACAAUUGAUGAUUGUAAUAGUGUUUAAUCUUCCAGAAAGCUUUAUAUGUUGUUCCACAAUAAAAUUGAUAUUUGUUUCAGCAAAGUUUUCCUGACACUCACAAACCCACAAACUGUUCCUCUUAAUGCAGAUAUUGUAGAAUCUACAAAGUUCAAAUCCAUUUUUGAUCCAAAGAAAGUAGAGGAGUAUUUGAGACAUGAGUGUACCCAGCCCUUUUUUUAAUCACAGGCAAUGCAUGGGUCUGGCUGGUUACACUUUGCCAAGAAGACUUGUCUUAUGAAACCCAAGGUAUAUUUUGUUAUGCCAUUUUAUGUCCUUUUCUUUUAACAUUGUGGAAAGUGGUAUGUUGAAUCAAGUGUAAGCUGAGUUUUCCAGACAACUGAAGUAGCUACAUCAUGAAUGUUAUUUUGUUAUUAAAGGGUUUUUACUCAGUGCUUUGUGCCAAUGGAUGUCCUUUUCCUUGGAGACACAUAACUACAAAAUUACCUCAGCUUGGCCUGGUUUUCUCUCCUGCCCUCUUGGGGAAACAUGGGCCUGGCCUGGGAAAAGGCAGGUCAUGGGCUGGAAGGUAGGUUUUGGUACUAGGAAGAAAUCUCUGUAUCUGUCAGCUUUAAAGAGAACUGGGCCAAAAAUCUCUAACCUCACUCUCUCUGGACUCCAACACUUCCCUGCAAUCCUUUGGUCUUGAGCAUGUGCCAGCAUGAAGGCAGACUCCAGUUCAUACAUGAAAGGCAAGAAAAAGAAAAUAGUAACCUUGAAUCUUCUGUGGGCCACCAGGCACUCACCUUUCCCCACCUUGCACACUAUCCAGUCAAGGCUAUUGCAGCCCAUCUGGUGGCUUUACAUGGGACAUUACCAAAGGCUUCUUCCUCCAUCCUGGGGUUGCAAAGGAUCCAGGUCCCCUCCAUCCAGUGGGGCUCUUCCACAUCAGAAGUCCCCCUCCCACCAUCCUCUGCAUCCUGUUUAGCUAUCCCAUCUAUACCUUUUGGAGAUGAUUAUUUAGAAAACAAAGAAAGGUAUGGAAUGGGGUUUCCUAUUGUUUGCUAGGUUAUAUUUUAGCAAUUCUCAAUUCUUUGAUCUGGAAAAAUACAAGAGGGAAAAGGAGACCCCACUAUCUCCCUGUGCUUUGCUCCCAUCUCAGGGGGCAGGGGCAGUGCACAUUGCCUAUGCUGUUGAUCUGUCUUGGGCGACAGGCUGAAUCACAGCUAUUGCCCCAGCCAAAAACAUGGCCCAUCAAUGCCUACUUUAUCUCUGCUUGAAAAUCCUAUUCAAAAAGUUGUAGAGUUUGAGGUUUUUAUCCCCCCAUAUCCUUUGCUUUGGUCCAGUUUGGCCUUUAGCAUAAGAGUCAGCUUUAUCUCUAGGAAAGUUUUUUCAGAUUAUGACAAGGAACCUGCCACCUGGGAAGAAAAGAGUCCGAAGACUAGCAAUCGGAUAGGUAGUCAUACCAUUAACAGAUACUUCCUUGAAGGUAGAAUAUUAUUUCCUUUCUUUACAGUUUUGUGUUACACAAGUCCAAGUGGUGCCAGCAAACUUCUUACCGUGAAAUGUUGUAAAACACCUGGCAUACUGAAAUUUCUGAAACAAAAACACAAGCUCCACAUUGAUAACUUGAUAAAUAACCACUAAAGUUUAGAUGCAGGGACUGAGAUGAUACAGGCAAAAUCUUGGUGUUGGUUUCUCUUUUAAUUCGUAUCUUCGAUCACCUAACCUUUCUCAAUCCAAGAGCAGUUCAGUCUUUUCUCCCCAAGUCUAGGAUGCCAAAGAGCAUCAUAGGAAAAGAUAAUUAGGGAUUGACCAGCAUUUCAAUUAGUUCUCUUCUUCAUCUUUGCAUUUCUCAAAAGUGUUCUCCUGGACCAGAGGGAAAGAGCUGGUCCAUUUUUUUUCAUUCUUUCUAUUCAAAUUUUUCCACCCAGACAAUACUUUAUUAACACAGAUACUGUAGAUCCUUCCUUGGUCAGUGAAUUAUUACAAGAGGAGCUAUCCUUCCACCAAAGUGAGUGAAAACAAGUUCCAGUAUCUUUUCUUCCAUCCAGUUUUGUUCUCAGAAUCCAAGUCAGUCCUGGGUCUUUUCUCACUUUAGACCCUGGCCUCAGAUGUGUUUAUUCUUGCUAUUUAAAAAUACCUUUAAAUUUCACAUGCUGGCCUGCAGAACUUGCAUCCUUUGUUCUAUACUGUUGACUGCUUGAUGGUAUUGAAAGGUGACUAUAAUGAGGGAAGAAAGGAGGAGGUAAAGAGAGAAGAAUUUGUCCCAGAUCUGUUUAAAGUUUCAAAAUUUAAAAAGGGACCCAUUAAAUUAUGGGAAAAUGGCUAUAGAGUGUGAGCCUCCGUUGACCAUAUGCUCAAAGACCGUACUCUGCCACCUGCCUUCCAGGUAGCUAUUCUAGAAACUCAGUCCUUUGUGGAAACCCAACUACCUUUUAAAAGUCUCUUUCCAGAUUCCAAAAGGACAAGAGAUCAGAGAGUCACAUAUACGCCUCUUGUUUUAUUUUCUUGCUUUCACGGGUAUUAUUGCCAAGAAAAUCGUAGGGAAAAACUUUAAACUUUUCUUUUCAGUUGAUCCCUUUGACAUCACCUCUCAUGUUUAAAAUCAGGAAAACACACCCCUAAAAUUUGCACUCUCUUCCGUUUUGAAAAAGAAAACCCACACACAAAUGCACACUAUUACCGUCUUUCACCCUGCGCUAUAUUUCCAAAGUGUAUUAUAAUCCAGAUAUUGCCCCAUCUCAAACAUGUUAAGUCAGACUGUGCUGAAAGACUUUCCAGGGACGGUCAACAGGGUAUAUGUUCAGUGGCUGCCCUGAAAUCCUGGUGGGGAUGAGGAUCACGCUUCAUCAUCAAGGGGAUGCCCAUCCCCUGAUAAGCUCCCAGUCCUUUUGGAAGAUUUCUUUGAAUGUUAAUUGCAUUUUCAGUUUUGCUCAUUUCCCACCCCAAUGUUUUGUCUGCAACAUCGCUUACACUGGAUUCUUUCUAUUUUUAUUCCUAUCAUUAAAUGGUAGUGCUGUAAAUUCUGCAAUUAAUGUUAAAUAAACUGCUUUAAUUCAUUG